UAAAAGGGCAUACUGGAGAGCGAAAAAAACGGAUCGUGCGUCAUCCCUACAUAGAACAAGGACCAACAAGACAACUGACAACCAGGUAUCGACCACGUCCCGGUGGGUAUCAGAGGUGGCCAAUGGAAGAAAUUGGUUGCACAAAGAGAAACGCGAUGGAUCUUCAGGCUGGACACACUUGUACCUCACGGCUUAAAUGAGAUGUGUUAUGAGACUUACCAACCAGGGCCAUCACGUGACUACUUCUAGCCUCCUUCUAUCGUUGGAGUGACCUUACCACCGGAAUCAUGUUGGGACUCUCUUUCUCUUAUCAAUUUUAAAACAUACUUUUUUAUGUACA